rnacentral:rRNA from 1 species
GACCUUGGCUAAUCUUGAAAAAAUAAGAAUGAUCAGACUUGACUAGUAUUUAAAUGGGAGACCACCAGGAAAUCCUAGGGCUGUAGGCU